CCUACGGGAGGCAGCAGUGGGGAAUCUUAGACAAUGGGCGCAAGCCUGAUCUAGCCAUGCCGCGUGAGCGAUGAAGGCCUUAGGGUUGUAAAGCUCUUUCGUGGGGGAAGAUAAUGACGGUACCCCAAGAAGAAGCCCCGGCUAACUCCGUGCCAGCAGCCGCGGUAAUACGGAGGGGGCUAGCGUUGUUCGGAAUUACUGGGCGUAAAGCGCACGUAGGCGGAUCGGAUAGUCAGAGGUGAAAUCCCAGGGCUCAACCUUGGAACUGCCUUUGAAACUCCCGGUCUUGAGGUCGAGAGAGGUGAGUGGAAUUCCGAGUGUAGAGGUGAAAUUCGUAGAUAUUCGGAGGAACACCAGUGGCGAAGGCGGCUCACUGGCUCGAUACUGACGCUGAGGUGCGAAAGCGUGGGGAGCAAGCAGGAUUAGAUACCCUGGUAGUCCACGCCGUAAACGAUGAAUGCCAGUCGUCGGCGAGCAUGCUCGUCGGUGACACACCUAACGUAUUAAGUCACUCCGUCCGUCGGGAGGUACGGCCGCGAACGGUUAAACGUACAAAUAGAAGUUAGACGGCGUGAGACGUGCCGACGGACGACGACGAGGGAGGUAGG
rnacentral:rRNA from 1 species